AUUGAACGCUGGCGGCAGGCUUAACACAUGCAAGUCGAGCGAGCGGCGGACGGGUGAGUAAUGUAUGGGGAUCUGCCUGAUGGAGGGGGAUAACUACUGGAAACGGUAGCCAAUACCGCAUACCAUCAGAUGAACCCAUAUGGGAUUAGCUUGUAGGUGAGGUAACGGCUCACCUAGGCGACGAUCCCUAGCUGGUCUGAGAGGAUGAUCAGCCACACUGGGACUGAGACACGGCCCAGACUCCUACGGGAGGCAGCAGUGGGGAAUAUUGCACAAUGGGCGCAACCCGGACGCAGCCAUGCCGCGUGAAUGAAGAAGGCCUUCGGGUUGUAAAGUUCUUUCGGUAGCGAGGCGUUAACUACAGAAGAAGCACCGGCUAACUCCGUGCCAGCAGCCGCGGUAAUUC
rnacentral:rRNA from 1 species